UACCACAAUUUUAUGUUUGGUGUCAUUUCUGUUUGGCUACAGCACAUCAAUGGUCUUAUUCCUAUAUGUAAUUGCCUUCAUGUUUCGCAACAAAUGGCAUGCUAGCAGUUUUUGGUCAUUCGUCUUAAUCUUGGUGAACGUGCUUGCUUUGAUUAAUGGAGUCUUUGCAAUCGACUAUGUGCAUUAUCUACUAAUAAUAAUUCUUCCCCUGUUUACAGCAACAGAAUUUAUGUUUAGUUUCACGGCGAUGUUGAGUGUACCGCUUUAUGAUGGAGAGAGACCAUUAGUGAAUCUGAUCUGGGCGGCUUCCUUUAUGCCUUACUUCCACAUUGUGGUUCUCAUUCUUUUACUUCGCUGUCUGACGGCGAAAUAUGGCAGGCCAGUUAUGAGAAGAGAUCCUGUGUUUAGGAUUUCUCCACAGAGAAAGAGCAGCCAUCGGAAUCCUGAAGAGGACAGUCAGGGCGAUGAUAGAGAUGUUCAAGAGGAAAGGGCAAGAGUUCAGAGUGCACUGGCCUGUGCAAAUCAGGAAGAGAGACCAGUUAUCCUAGUCAGCAAUUUGCGCAAAGAAUACAGAAGUGAGAAGGCUUGUUCCUGUGGCAAGAAAAGCAAGACGCUGGGGAAAGUGGCCACCAAAAGUGUCUCCUUCUGUGUUAAAAAAGGAGAAAUUUUGGGGCUACUUGGACCCAAUGGAGCUGGUAAAAGUACAACAAUGAAUAUGAUAACUGGAGACACAGAUCCAACAGCUGGACAGAUCCUGAUGAAAGGAGCUGAUGCAGCUGCAACGGAAGAAAAUGCUGUCGGUUUUCUUGGCUACUGUCCCCAAGAGGAUGCCCUCUGGCCCAGCCUGACCAUGAAAGAACAUCUGGAGAUUAAUGCAGCUGUGAAAGGGAUGCAGAAAGACUCAGCUGGUGUUGCUAUCAGUCGAAUAGUUCAUGCUCUAGAACUCCAGGACCAUUUGAAAACGGCUGCUAAGGCAUUACCUGCUGGACUGAGAAGGAAAUUAUGCUUUGCCCUGAGCAUGCUGAGUAAUCCUGCAGUGAUGCUAUUAGAUGAACCAACAGCAGGAAUGGAUCCUAAAGGAAAGCGCCAAGUGUGGAAAGCAAUCCUCACUGCGCUGAAGGACAAAGACCAAGGAGCCAUUUUGACAACUCACCACAUGGAAGAAGCUGAGGCAGUGUGUGACAGAGUAGCUAUCAUGGUGACUGGACAGCUCAGGUGUCUUGGUUCUAUUCAGUAUCUGAAAAGCAAAUUUGGCAAAAAUUAUUUGCUCCAAAUAAAAGUUAAGGGCGUGGACCACGGGGAGCUUCUGAAUACUCAUAUUCUACAGAUCUUCCCACAUGCAGCUCGUCAAGAAAGGAUAUCCACUUUGUUGGCCUACAAGAUCCCAAUGGAAGACGCGCUGCCUCUAUCGAAGGCCUUCUCCAUGUUAGAGGAAGCUAAACGAAGCUUCAGCUUUGAGGAGUACAGCUUUUCUUUGAACACCUUGGAGCAGGUUUUCCUAGAACUUGUCAAAGAGCAGGAACGUGAUUGUUUCGAUCCAUCUCUGAGCACAGUCUUUGAAUGGCAACAGCUGCAGCAGGCUGAUAUUUAAGUUGUUCGCAACCUAGACAUGAAACAGAUGCUUACAGGAGUAAGUGCUGGUCCCUUGAAAUAAGAAGGAUAUAAGAAGUAUCUAGCAGCCCGUCUCUGAAUAAUGUUGUGUCUCCUUUGGCAUGUGAGACUGGAGUCCAGCCUUUUGACGGGAGGACUUUACAUAUAGCUCUACAUACAGGUCUGUGUGACCAAAACCCAUAUUGGUCAUACGUAGAGAAUGAAAUGUACCAUUUCUGGACAUGUUCAUCCCCUGGAAUUUUUUUGUUUUCCAGAAAAAAUGUUUUGAAUUUUUUUUUGGGGGGGGGGUGAGAAUUGAAAUAUAUGCAGUACAUAAUUCUUAUAUCAUCUCAGCUUAAUUUACUACUUAAAAACCAAAAAAUGCAUUAUGUAUAGCUUAGCACAUAAAAUUGUACUGUUUGGCAUAUUUAUCAGGUUGGAAAAGGGUAAAUGCCUUUGUGAUUCAGCUAUCCCCAGCAAGUCUUUUCCCACAAGCCACUCCACCCAGGCCUUCCUUCUUUUUCACUGCUCCUCGUCCUCUGCUGUCUUCUUCUGGCUGUCUCCAUGACACCAAGCACCAACAAGUCCAGCUGUCGCCAACUAACCAGCACCUGGCUAUAUAUGUACUUUUUUCUGGCCCCUCUAGUCCAGCUCCAGCCAAUGAUGCCAAACUGAAAAUUCAGAAAUUAUUGCAGCUGUUAGUUAAGGCCCCAAGCAGCAGGUAAACUAACUUCCACAGGGGCAGACAGAAAACUUCCCAUGUCAAAUGCAUCACAAUGUAGUACAAAUGUCAGAACAUAUUACCCAACAUCCAUUAAAACUUAAUUCAAAUAAACAUUACUUCAUCACACUUCAUAGUAACAUCGAACACUUUUGUAGUGUAUCGUCAUCUCAUACAGUAUGUGAAAUAGGAACUGUGGACAAAAUUAGCUGCAUAGAACUUCAUUUAAAUAAUAUGCUGUUUAAAAUCCAACCAUCUCAUGCUUCCUUCUUUCACCAGAAGCACUUUCUAGAAGAUUAUUUGCUUCCGAUUCUAAGCUUUCCUUUUUAUCUCCAUAAGCUCCAGAGAACUGAAGGGUUGCCUGAAUGAAAGAAGCUCAUCUACUAUUUAACAUUUCCAGGCACAGACAAGCUGCUCUGCACAUAUUCUUUUUGGAUCAAAGCUGUAUGAAGCUGGCAGGAAAAUUAACGGGUUGCACAUUCCCCACAAGAUUCAUGAAUUGUAACUACCUAAUACAGUACCUCGCUUUACAUAGAUAUUAGAAACCAUAAGGAAAGGAGGAAGUGAAAGACAGCUAAGGCUGAAGAAUGCUUUACUAAUCUGUAAUGCCAAACCAUAAAGAGGUCUAGAUUAUUAUAUUUUUAUUUUAUCUGAAAAAAAUUAUAUUUGCAUUUACAGAACAUAUAUUUGUGAAAAUUGUACUAAGUUACGACUUGUAACGGAGCAUAAUUUCUGUUUCUGGUGCUGUUGUUCAUGGGUUUAUAUUGUUAGAGAUUGAAGUAAAAUGAUGUAUGUAAAAUAAAGUGGCAAUACUUCUCUAAGAUUGUUUCCAGACAAGCAGCUCCUAGGACUAAUCUUUCUUCUGUAAACUACAAGUACUACAUUUUUUUUAUUAAUUAAAAAAAAAAAAGCAAAAUGGAAGAUUGGAUGGAAGAUUUGUUAGUACUACCAUCAUGAAGCCAGCACGGUGUCACCGUACAUCUGUCCAAGUCUACCGGAAGCACGCAUGUUAAAACAAAUGCAAAUCUGCUAGAACCAACAAUUUAACCAUCAAACUAUAGAGUGCAUCAGUGGCUGGAACAUCUUUAAUUUCAUAAGAAGAGAUAUAAGCGGCCAAUGGAACAGAUUCAUUGCUUGCCAUGGUUAUCAAAACAUUAGAACUGGGGUGUGCUGCUACAAAUUGUAAAGAGCUUGAAAAGGAACACAAAAAGUUAA